CAAAACCUGCCUUAAGGAUGGGGAUAACAGACGGAAACGACUGCUAAUACCGAAUACGUUCUAAGCAUCGCAUGAUGCAUAGAAGAAAGGGUGGCCUCUACAAGAAAGCUAUCGCCUUAAGAGGGGUUUGCGACUGAUUAGGUAGUUGGUGAGGUAACGGCUCACCAAGCCGACGAUCAGUAGCCGGUCUGAGAGGAUGAACGGCCACAUUGGGACUGAGACACGGCCCAG
rnacentral:rRNA from 1 species